ensembl:lncRNA
UAACUCUUCUUCAUCUUGAUAAGGCAGCUGCAUACAAGGGGGAAGAAAACGAUGAGAGUGAAAACUGAUCCGCAAACAGCAGCUGAUGAGCGGGCUGUUGUCAUGGUGACCGGGGAGGAUGUGGAGGGAAGCGUGAGGGGCACACGAUGACAAAUGAGGUUAGAGCCAACUGUUUGCACAUACACACACACCUUUAGUUGAUUUCAUCUGUGAAACUGUAAUGCGAUUCAAAUGUAAAGAUGUCAGAGGGCAGGUGAAAACAAAAUAGAUUCCCAAUUUUAAGUGGUCUUUUUUUCCCCCACACAGAGUGAACGUACAAAUGCACAGCGGCAAAGGCUCGCACACACACACUCACACAGCUUGAAGCCUUUGAUGACAGACCUGAGAAUCAAACGAACAUCUGGAGUUAUAUGUAUGACUUCAAACGUACUGUACAUCAAACAUAGUUUUGUGUGUAAAAACACUCCUUAAAAUCCUUAAAAAAGAAUUCUUUGCCAGUCUGAUGAUGUCAUAAACACACAGCAAUCCUUAAAAUUUCAAAGUGAAAUACAUCUGUGGAGAUAACGGAUUGAAAACAGCAGUGACUGCUUUGCUUUCUUUGGGAAAACACACUUUUAUCAAGAAAACAGACUGCCAUGUUUGUUGCUGCCCUCCCUUGCAAGAGUUUGAGGGAGAUAUGUGAUUACCUCACACGGCCUUUAACCGACAGAAAUGUCAGCGGUGAAUGCAUGCAGAACCUUGAUCAAUAUGCCCGAUUGGAAUUGGAAUUAAUCACUGGCAUGGGUACAAUUAUAGAAGGGAAGCCAUAAUUAUCUCACAGUAUCUCAAUACGACAGUCAGAGGAGAUCAGUGAAGCAUGAAAGACUGCUCUCUAACAGAUUAUUUACUGAUCUCUUAUGAUUAAAAGUGAUGGAGAGGGAUUCGUCCCCGAGCAACUUCCUUCUCCUUAUUUUACCUCUGCAUAUCAUCCUCUGACAUUCUACCCAUAAUGUUCAGUGGAAGGCGAAGUGUGAAAUAUCACCAAAUUCCAAAAAAAAAAGAUAAUUAAAUAAACUAUAUAAAUAACUUUAAAAAAUAAUAAUU